AAAUUCAAUCAUAUAUCACACUUGGCCGCAACAACAUCAAAAUUAUUUUCUCUAAAUUCUGCUGUCUAAAACAAUAACCGAAAAUCUCUACAUUUACUAUGUUCAUUCAAAUACAACAGUCUCAAGAUGUACAUUAACUAUUCGAAGGUUCAAGCCAAGCCAAACAUCCAGCAAUACCAUGAUUGAAUCGUAGAUCAUGAUUGUAAUAGCCCACAUUAGAGAAAAAACAUAGCCUGUUCUUUGGAGGGAAAGAAGGAUCUGCAACAGCCCAAAGAUGCUCAUAUAUUUGAUAAGUUCCUGGCCUUACAUUCGUGUCUUUACUAUGGCCAUGGGGAUUGUUGCCAAACAGCGAUGGCGCACCGACAGGAGGACAAUUAAAUAGAAAUAUAAAUAAAUCAUUAAAAAAAUAAAUAGACAUCAAAGAAUA